AACGAACGCUGGCGGCAUGCCUAACACAUGCAAGUCGAACGAGAUCUUCGGGUCUAGUGGCGCACGGGUGCGUAACGCGUGGGAAUCUGCCCUUUGGUUCGGAAUAACAGUUGGAAACGACUGCUCAUACCGGAUGAUGACGAAAGUCCAAAGAUUUAUCGCCAGAGGAUUAGCCCGGUUAGGAUUAGCUAGUUGGUGUGGUAAAGGAGCACCAAGGGGACGAUCCUUAGCUGGUCUGAGAGGAUGAUCAGCCACACUGGGACUGGGACACGGCCCAGACUCCGACGGGAGGCGGCAGUGGGGAAUAUUGGACAAUGGGCGAAAGCCUGAUCCAGCAAUGCCGCGUGAGUGAUGAAGGCCUUAGGGUUGUAAAGCUCUUUUACCCGGGAUGAUAAUGACAGUACCGGGAGAAUAAGCUCCGGCUAACUCCGUGCCAGCCGCCGCCGUAA
rnacentral:rRNA from 1 species